rnacentral:lncRNA from 1 species
CUCAGGCAUCCACGCGCACGUGCACGCGCGUUUCAGAACCUUCACGCAUCCACUGCUUCGGCCACCCCGUCCUUCAUCCGCUCGCGCGUGUGCUCCGGAGCCCAAGCGCCCGUGGCUCCGGCAUCCACGCACCAUCCCCGCCCACGCGACCCUUUCCUGCCCCGUGCGUUCGCGCAACAAGAUCACGUUCCCAAGCACGCUGGCUGGGACGUUUCCAGCGCGGCCUCUGCCCGGGCGCCGCGCUGGCCUCGGGCCCGCCCCUGGGGCCCUGGCAAACAUUGACUCUGGGGCUGGAGGGUUAAAGGUGGCACGUCCGCGUCUAGACGCCGCCGCAGCCUCCUGCGCUCGGCGGGAACGGGGGCCCUGGGAGGCACGGGGGCCCUGGCAGGCACAGGGGCCGCCGCCCCUUCGCGGCUCCCGCUCCCGGGCCCCCGGCGCUGGGCAGCCGGCGGGGGGCGGCGGCGGGCAGAGGGGUGGGGCCCGAACCCCAAGGCCGAGGGGGAGGGGCCGGGCUUCCGGAGAGCGGCGGCCAAUCGCGGGCCGCGGGCCGCCCAGCGCGGGGGCUGCGCUCCAGGUAUUGGUAGUUGGGGGCGGGGGCGGGAGCUGGGCAGGGGGCGCGGGCCCGGGCAGAGGCUCCCGGAACGCGAGAGGGUGCAGCUCUGCGCGGGUCCCCUGGAGAGACGCCUCCUCAUAACCCGGCUCACGGCCGCAGAGGCGGCCCACCGCGUCCAGGCGCCCCCGGUCCCUCGGUGCCCUCCAACCGCCGCGCCUCAGACCAUGCCGGGUGAGUGGAGAAUGCGCCUGUGCUCAGCCCCCCUGCUCAUACUGGGUCGGGAGCGGGGGUGGGAGAAGGACCCCCCCCCGCUUUGCUUGCGAAAGAUCGCGCCAAACCCUUCCUGUCCCAGAACGCCCCCCUCUCCCGGACUGCACAGGCUGGAUGUCAACAGCCGGGAGGAGGCGCCUUUUAGUUUGGUCAAGGGGCGCUGAGAUUUGGUAAUUUUCCUUCUGUAACACGUAAUAACCCUCGGCGAUUAAAUGGGCCGUUUUCUUGGCAAUCACGCAAGUGUGUGAGUGGCACAGUUGAGGGGACUCAUGGGACUUUUAUGUUCUUAAAACUCUGGGUAGAGAGAGCCUUUGGUUCUUCUGAGUUCAGACGUAUCAUUUGUGAUUCCGGUACAGAGCCAGAGCAGAGCAGAGCAGCAGGCUGAGGAUGGCCAGACGGCUGGGGACAUGGGCAAGGCCUGGUCCCCCGAGGCUGAAAUUCGCUCCUGUCUGCCUGCCCUUGGGUUUUGGGGGAUGUCUGCUUUAGCCUCGCAGUGUGGUGAUCUUACCCUCUUGUGGUCUAGCCGUGGUCUGGGAGACACCCUCUCCUUGCCCCAGAUCAAGCCUGAUCAUUCAUGAAUGCCUUUAAAAAAAACAAAAUCAAGGGAGCUCCCGUUGGGGCUCAGUGGUAAUGAACC